UCUCUCUAGAAAACAAACUUUCUUAAAAACUCGAAUUAGAGUGUAAAAAAGGCUUGAAAAUCUCUGCUCCUUCAUAAGGGUUAAAGUGAACAGACUCACGAAUCGUAAACAAAAAGCAGAGUUUCACAAACGACUUUACCACCUUAAUAAAUGUAGUUUGUUUGCUAGAGAGAGUAUUGCAUUUGAUUUUACA